GCAAAAUAGCAAAAUGUGCUGUAAGGCGCAACGUUGAGAAAAGGCCAUUUUUUAUUUAAAUUCAAAAAGUGUAUAAUAUUAAAACAAGUGCAAGUUGGUUUUCAGUACUUCUUUAUUAUGGAAGCUACCUCGAGGGGAACGAACUCGUACAGCUUCCCUUCCUCCUGAGGCUGCGCGUUGAACGAACAUUCCCAGAAGCCAAUCUGAAAAUUACAACUUUUGUGCUGUUUUGGAAGGAGGAGACUUACCCCAUGGGCCGGAUCCCGGAUCCCCCAUCAUCGAAUUGCAAACAAAGGGUGGAGAUGGUCCGUGGCUGCUUAGUAGCGCGGGCGGCCGUCUUUUCAGCGCUUCGCAUUACUUUUCAGCCAACUUGCAACAAAAAUUACAAUAAUACAUAGUUGUAAAUGUCAUGAUGUUACAGGGAGGGUGGGAAGAGCGUGAAAUUGUGAUAAACGAACGAAAUAUUGAAACCAGAUUGAAAUAGAGUGAAUAGCAAGAAGAGUCGCAGUAAAUGAAGUAGAUGUGAAAUGGCCCGCCCGACAACGAACGCUACGUUAACAAUUUGCUGGCUGCUUGCCUUUCUUCUCCUUCCUCGAAUCUCUCGAAAUCUCCUUCAAUCCAACUUUCCAACUCUCAGACUUACACUUCUGCUCAGAUAGAUAGAUCUCUGCUUCGCUCUGCUGACGCGCUGCUGCUCUGCUACAACGUUUCAAAUAUAUACACAAAAACUACAAAAAUCUUUAGCUAAACAUUAUUUUUUUUGUUUGGUUUUUUUUUGGGUUUUUUCUUUUCGAAUUUACAUCAUUCAUUUGCUGUAUAUACUUAUGUAUUUUCGAAUCUUGUAUUUCGCUACAUUAAAGUGUAAAAUUUCGUUAAUUAUAAUUGCGCUGACCUCAGACGACAACUGCAUACAGACUGAUUGCUAAAAGGUAGAUUACAUUUAAUUGUUGCUUGAUUAAAACUAAACAUUGGAGAUAAGUUAGUUCCAUGUCGUCACUUAUGCGUACAAGAAAGCUAAGAUAUUCCACCGAACGGUUACGGUUACGGUUAGGGUUACGAUUAAGGUUGGGUUCGGUUCGGUUCAGCAGUUCGCUUGAAACUGAAUGUGGUGUGUGGUACUCGUAAUCGUACACGUGAAUUAACGCUAAGGCGGCGUGCGGCAGGGGCAGCUGUGAAGGAUGGAUUGCCAUUGCCGCCGCGCCGCGCCGCACUCUUUUAAGAUUAUGACAACUUAAGCCUAGUGAAAGUCGUAAAAUGUAAUACAUAUUUUCAUAAGUUUGUUUUGUGUGUGUUCUGCGCACUGAUUAUCAGAAAUGUUUGGCGGCAGGCCACAGCACAGAUUGCUACAUACUCGAAAUUG